rnacentral:rRNA from 1 species
ACUAAGCGUACACGGUGGAUGCCCUGGCAGUCAGAGGCGAUGAAGGACGUGCUAAUCUGCGAUAAGCGUCGGUAAGGUGAUAUGAACCGUUAUAACCGGCGAUUUCCGAAUGGGGAAACCCAGUGUGAUUCGUCACACUAUCAUUAACUGAAUCCAUAGGUUAAUGAGGCGAACCGGGGGAACUGAAACAUCUAAGUACCCCGAGGAAAAGAAAUCAACCGAGAUUCCCCCAGUAGCGGCGAGCGAACGGGGAGGAGCCCAGAGCCUGAAUCAGUGUGUGUGUUAGUGGAAGCGUCUGGAAAGGCGCGCGAUACAGGGUGACAGCCCCGUACACAAAAAUGCACAUGCUGUGAGCUCGAUGAGUAGGGCGGGACACGUGGUAUCCUGUCUGAAUAUGGGGGGACCAUCCUCCAAGGCUAAAUACUCCUGACUGACCGAUAGUGAACCAGUACCGUGAGGGAAAGGCGAAAAGAACCCCGGCGAGGGGAGUGAAAAAGAACCUGAAACCGUGUACGUACAAGCAGUGGGAGCACGCUUAGGCGUGUGACUGCGUACCUUUUGUAUAAUGGGUCAGCGACUUAUAUUCUGUAGCAAGGUUAACCGAAUAGGGGAGCCGAAGGGAAACCGAGUCUUAACUGGGCGUUAAGUUGCAGGGUAUAGACCCGAAACCCGGUGAUCUAGCCAUGGGCAGGUUGAAGGUUGGGUAACACUAACUGGAGGACCGAACCGACUAAUGUUGAAAAAUUAGCGGAUGACUUGUGGCUGGGGGUGAAAGGCCAAUCAAACCGGGAGAUAGCUGGUUCUCCCCGAAAGCUAUUUAGGUAGCGCCUCGUGAAUUCAUCUCCGGGGGUAGAGCACUGUUUCGGCAAGGGGGUCAUCCCGACUUACCAACCCGAUGCAAACUGCGAAUACCGGAGAAUGUUAUCACGGGAGACACACGGCGGGUGCUAACGUCCGUCGUGAAGAGGGAAACAACCCAGACCGCCAGCUAAGGUCCCAAAGUCAUGGUUAAGUGGGAAACGAUGUGGGAAGGCCCAGACAGCCAGGAUGUUGGCUUAGAAGCAGCCAUCAUUUAAAGAAAGCGUAAUAGCUCACUGGUCGAGUCGGCCUGCGCGGAAGAUGUAACGGGGCUAAACCAUGCACCGAAGCUGCGGCAGCGACGCUUAUGCGUUGUUGGGUAGGGGAGCGUUCUGUAAGCCUGUGAAGGUGUACUGUGAGGUAUGCUGGAGGUAUCAGAAGUGCGAAUGCUGACAUAAGUAACGAUAAAGCGGGUGAAAAGCCCGCUCGCCGGAAGACCAAGGGUUCCUGUCCAACGUUAAUCGGGGCAGGGUGAGUCGACCCCUAAGGCGAGGCCGAAAGGCGUAGUCGAUGGGAAACAGGUUAAUAUUCCUGUACUUGGUGUUACUGCGAAGGGGGGACGGAGAAGGCUAUGUUGGCCGGGCGACGGUUGUCCCGGUUUAAGCGUGUAGGCUGGUUUUCCAGGCAAAUCCGGAAAAUCAAGGCUGAGGCGUGAUGACGAGGCACUACGGUGCUGAAGCAACAAAUGCCCUGCUUCCAGGAAAAGCCUCUAAGCAUCAGGUAACAUCAAAUCGUACCCCAAACCGACACAGGUGGUCAGGUAGAGAAUACCAAGGCGCUUGAGAGAACUCGGGUGAAGGAACUAGGCAAAAUGGUGCCGUAACUUCGGGAGAAGGCACGCUGAUAUGUAGGUGAAGUCCCUCGCGGAUGGAGCUGAAAUCAGUCGAAGAUACCAGCUGGCUGCAACUGUUUAUUAAAAACACAGCACUGUGCAAACACGAAAGUGGACGUAUACGGUGUGACGCCUGCCCGGUGCCGGAAGGUUAAUUGAUGGGGUCAGCGCAAGCGAAGCUCUUGAUCGAAGCCCCGGUAAACGGCGGCCGUAACUAUAACGGUCCUAAGGUAGCGAAAUUCCUUGUCGGGUAAGUUCCGACCUGCACGAAUGGCGUAAUGAUGGCCAGGCUGUCUCCACCCGAGACUCAGUGAAAUUGAACUCGCUGUGAAGAUGCAGUGUACCCGCGGCAAGACGGAAAGACCCCGUGAACCUUUACUAUAGCUUGACACUGAACAUUGAGCCUUGAUGUGUAGGAUAGGUGGGAGGCUUUGAAGUGUGGACGCCAGUCUGCAUGGAGCCGACCUUGAAAUACCACCCUUUAAUGUUUGAUGUUCUAACGUGGACCCGUGAUCCGGGUUGCGGACAGUGUCUGGUGGGUAGUUUGACUGGGGCGGUCUCCUCCUAAAGAGUAACGGAGGAGCACGAAGGUUGGCUAAUCCUGGUCGGACAUCAGGAGGUUAGUGCAAUGGCAUAAGCCAGCUUGACUGCGAGCGUGACGGCGCGAGCAGGUGCGAAAGCAGGUCAUAGUGAUCCGGUGGUUCUGAAUGGAAGGGCCAUCGCUCAACGGAUAAAAGGUACUCCGGGGAUAACAGGCUGAUACCGCCCAAGAGUUCAUAUCGACGGCGGUGUUUGGCACCUCGAUGUCGGCUCAUCACAUCCUGGGGCUGAAGUAGGUCCCAAGGGUAUGGCUGUUCGCCAUUUAAAGUGGUACGCGAGCUGGGUUUAGAACGUCGUGAGACAGUUCGGUCCCUAUCUGCCGUGGGCGCUGGAGAACUGAGGGGGGCUGCUCCUAGUACGAGAGGACCGGAGUGGACGCAUCACUGGUGUUCGGGUUGUCAUGCCAAUGGCACUGCCCGGUAGCUAAAUGCGGAAGAGAUAAGUGCUGAAAGCAUCUAAGCACGAAACUUGCCCCGAGAUGAGUUCUCCCUGACUCCUUGAGAGUCCUGAAGGAACGUUGAAGACGACGACGUUGAUAGGCCGGGUGUGUAAGCGCAGCGAUGCGUUGAGCUAACCGGUACUAAUGAACCGUGAGGCUUAACC